GACGAACGCUGGCGGCGUGCUUAACACAUGCAAGUCGAACGGAAAGGCCUUUUCGGAGGUACUCGAGUGGCGAACGGGUGAGUAACACGUGGGUGAUCUGCCCUGCACUCUGGGAUAAGCCUGGGAAAUUGGGUCUAAUACCGGAUAGGACCGCACUUUAGUGUGUGUGGUGGAAAGUUUUUUCGGUGUAGGAUGAGCCCGCGGCCUAUCAGCUUGUUGGUGGGGUAAUGGCCUACCAAGGCGGCGACGGGUAGCCGGACUGAGAGGUUGGUCGGCCACAUUGGGACUGAGAUACGGCCCAGACUCCUACGGGAGGCAGCAGUGGGGAAUAUUGCACAAUGGGCGCAAGCCUGAUGCAGCGACGCCGCGUGGGGGAUGACGGCCUUCGGGUUGUAAACUCCUUUCGCCAGGGACGAAGCGUUUUGUGACGGUACCUGGAGAAGAAGCACCGGCUAACUACGUG
rnacentral:rRNA from 1 species